AAAUUCUGAAUUCACUUCUGGUACACAUUUUUGGGUGUUCAUGUUUAUAUUUUUCAAGUACAAAACAACUGUUAUAGUAUCUUUACCUCAUUCACAUAAAUAUUUUACAAAAAAUUGUACUACAAAACUUUUGAUGCAGAUAGAUUUUCCUUUCCAUCCAUGGAAAAGAAACAAGCUAUUUCCAUCUACUAAAUGUGCAAAACAGGGAUUAUCAUAUAUAUAUAUAUAGAAAGUUUUUCGAGUAAUCCAAUUCCUUCGUGGUGUGACUUAAAUGGCGCGAAUCCAGAUUUAGUUGAACGUGAGGGUUUUGGACAUUGAAUUGCUUUCAAUGAGUAUUUCACCAUCAGCACAAUCUCAAAACUGAUCCUCUUUCGACUAAAUGGCCAAUUUUGUGAACUUAGCAACAAAGAGUCCGCUUGUACAAGAUGUCAAAGGAUCAAAUCGUAAGGUUUUCUGUAUUCGACCACUCUUGCAUGGCCAAUUUUUGGCAGCAGUAAUCUCCAGCAAUUCUGCAUAUGUGUUCUCCGAAAGGAACCGCUCGACCACAUCUUCGUUCUGAGCAAAGGUUAAACUGCAAGUGCUAUAGACAAGGGCUCCCCCAACUCUGAGCAAUCUGAAUCCAUUAGUUAGAAGUUGCAGCUGAAGGAUAGUAAGAUCAUCGGUUCUUUCUGCAUCUAGCACACGGCGCUGGAAGGUUGUCCAGCCCCAUUGCUCAAAUUUCUGAACAUGCUUAAUAGAACCAUCAUGGGUACAUUCUGCAUCCACAAGAACCUUGUCGUAGCCAAGCUGUAAAACCUCACUGAUAGGCAUCUUUUGAUAUAAUUCAUUUUUUCUCAUCCCAACCACCCCAGAAUACCGGCCAUAAAAUAUAAGCUCUGGUUCUUGAGUUGGUGAGAAUAGCUUGGAGACACCUUUUUCUCUAGCUAUAGCUUCCUUCUUCCUUUCUUUCCAUGGUCUGCGAGACUUCCACUCCCCAUAUACUUCAAAUUUUUCUCCUGAAGCAAAUUCAUCCGCAUUUUCAUUUUGCAAUGUAGAGCCUGAAUGGACCCUGACAGGGAGAAGAGAAAAGCUGGUUCCAUCAGCAACAAAAAGACGACAAUGACCACCAAGACUAUAUUUCUGUAGCAUGGUUCUACAGGCCGCUAAUCGAUGUUUUGCAAUGUCAACACCAGUCACAGAACCCGAACUGCCAAGAAUGUCCAACAUCAUACAAAGUUUAGCACCAGGUGCAGCACAAAGAUCAAGGACAUGAUCCCCUACUGAAAUGUCCAAAGCUGUCACAGCAGCUCCGGAUGCUGCAUCAAUUCCAUACAUCUUCCCUUCUUGGUACGCCUUCGAACUAGCAAUUCGAACAUCAGGUUGAAGAUGAUAAAAGUUGGGCAACCAACACACUCUUUCAAGCUUGCAUCUAAUAUCACUUUCAAUUUCUUCAAGCAAAUCCUCAUAA
rnacentral:misc_RNA from 1 species